rnacentral:tRNA from 1 species
GGCUAUAGCUCAGCUGGGAGAGCGCCUGCCUUGCACGCAGGAGGUCUGCGGUUCGAUCCCGCAUAGCUCCACC